UACGGGGGGAGCAAGCGUUGUUCGGAAUUAUUGGGCGUAAAGCGCGUGUAGGCGGCAUUGCAAGUCGGGUGUGAAAGCCCUCAGCUUAACUGAGGAAGUGCGCCCGAAACUGCAGUGCUUGAGUACCGGAGAGGAUGGCGGAAUUCCCCAAGUAGAGGUGAAAUUCGUAGAUAUGGGGAGGAACACCGGUGGCGAAGGCGGCCAUCUGGACGGAUACUGACGCUGAGACGCGAAAGCGUGGGUAGCAAACAGG
rnacentral:rRNA from 1 species